rnacentral:tRNA from 1 species
GGGCAGGUUCCAGAGCGGCCAAAUGGGGCAGACUGUAACUCCGCUGGCUUACGCCUUCGCAGGUUCGAAUCCUGCCCUGCCCACCA